rnacentral:rRNA from 1 species
UACGAACUGUGCGAACGUUAUUCGGAAUCACUGGGCUUACAGGGUGCGUAGGCGGCCUUUCAAGUCAGGUGUGAAAUCCCACAGCCCAACUGUGGAACUGCGCUUGAAACUGAUCGGCUUGAGUCAGCUAGAGGUACACGGAACUUCCGGUGGAGCGGUGAAAUGUGUUGAUAUCGGAAGGAACACCAGAGGCGAAAGCGGUGUACUGGAGCUGGUCUGACGCUGAGGCACGAAAGCCAGGGGAGCGAACGGGAUUAGAAACCCCUGUAGUCC